GAAGGCGCCCGAUCUCGUCUGAUCUCGGAAGCUAAGC
ensembl:rRNA 5S_rRNA 5S ribosomal RNA